rnacentral:rRNA from 1 species
CCUACGGGGGGCAGCAGUGGGGAAUAUUGGACAAUGGGGGCAACCCUGAUCCAGCCAUGCCGCGUGUGUGAAGAAGGCCCUCGGGUUGUAAAGCACUUUCAGUGAGGAAGAACGCCUGGUGGUUAAUACCCAUCAGGAAAGACAUCACUCACAGAAGAAGCACCGGCUAACUCCGUGCCAGCAGCCGCGGUAAUACGGAGGGUGCGAGCGUUAAUCGGAAUUACUGGGCGUAAAGCGCGCGUAGGUGGCUUGAUAAGCCGGUUGUGAAAGCCCCGGGCUCAACCUGGGAACGGCAUCCGGAACUGUCAAGCUAGAGUGCAGGAGAGGGAGGUAGAAUUCCCGGUGUAGCGGUGAAAUGCGUAGAGAUAGGGAGGAAUACCAGUGGCGAAGGCGGCCUUCUGGACUGACACUGACACUGAGGUGCGAAAGCGUGGGUAGCAAACAGGAUUAGAUACCCCAGUAGUC